AUUCCAUGAUGGGGACAUUCUAGGAUGUAGUCUUGGAAGCGCUCCCAAGCUUCUGGAACGGAUUCAUCAUGUUGUUGCUUGUCACACCCCAAAAUUCCUUCUUUGGGAU
rnacentral:snoRNA from 1 species